UACGGAGGGUGCAAGCGUUAUCCGGAUUUACUGGGUUUAAAGGGUGUGUAGGCGGGCUUUUAAGUCAGUGGUGAAAUCUCCGGGCUCAACCCGGAAACUGCCAUUGAUACUAUUAGUCUUGAAUUUUGUUGAGGUAGGCGGAAUAAGUCAUGUAGCGGUGAAAUGCAUAGAUAUGACUUAGAACACCAAUUGCGAAGGCAGCUUGCUAAACAAAUAUUGACGCUGAGGCACGAAAGCGUGGGGAGCAAACAGG
rnacentral:rRNA from 1 species